rnacentral:misc_RNA from 1 species
UCACCCCCCUCAAGCCCUGUGCUUGGUGUUGGACGGUUCGGUGGAAGGGGUACACCCUUCCACCCGUCCUAAAGACAAUGACGGCGGCCUCGUGGAGCCCCCGGUACACUGAGCUUCUUAACUGAGCACGUAUCGGAUCAAGGGCGCCCGGGGCACGGUCCUCUCCCCCUUACGGGGAAAUUUUCUCAA